ensembl:lncRNA
GUCACCUAACAAUAUGUUUCUCAGAAUGUAUCCCUGUCGUUAAGAGAAACAUGGCUGUAUAUACACACUUUAUUGAGCUAUCGUUCACAUAUAACAAAAUUGACCUAUUUUAAGUGCACAGUUUGAUGAAUCUUGACAAAUGUAUAUAAAUCAUUUAACUACCAUCACAAUCAAGAUAUGGACUAUUUUCAUCACCCCACAAAGUUCCUCCGUGGGUCAUUGUAUUCAAUCCCGUCGCUCUCCCCAUCUGCCCCUGGCAACAACUGGUCUACUUUCUGUCUCUAUAUUUUUUCCUUUUCUAGGAUUAAAAAUAAAUAGAAUAAUGUCAUAGUCAGCAUAAUGCUCUUGAGAAUCAUUCCUUUUUGUUACUAAAUAGGAUUCCAUUCUACGGAUAUAUCAUUAUUUGUUUAUUCACUCACUGAUUGAUGGAUGUCUGGGUUGUUUCCAAUUUGCGGGUUAUUGUGUAUACAGUAGCUAUCAGUUUAAUGUAUAAGACUUGGUGUGGCCCUAUAUUUUCAUUGUUUUAGUUAAAUAUUUAGAAGAGGGAUUUCUUGUUGUAUGGUAAGGAUGUAUUUAACUUUGAUUAAAAAUUGUCGAUGUGUUUUGCAAAGUGGUUGAAUAAUCUAAAUUCUCACCAGCGAAGAAUGAGAAUUCCAGUUUCUCUGCAUCCUCAUCAAUAAAAAUAUUGUCAGCCUUUUAAAUUUUUCCCAUUCCAGUGGCUACAUCGUGAUAUCUUUUUGUGUUUUAAUUUGCAUUUCCUUAACGACUGGUGAUGUCGAGCAUUUUUUUCAUGGGCUGCUUGCCAUCCUUCAAGCUGGGAAGUAUUUGUUCAAAUCUUUUGUCUGUCUUGUUUUUUACCAGUUGACUUUUUUUUUUAUCUUACUGAAUUGUAAAAGUUCAUUUUAUAUUCUGCUAAAAGUCCUUUAUCAGAUAUAUAUUUUCUCCCAGGAUGUGACUUCCCUUUUUAUUUUCUAACACUGUCUUUCAAAGGGCAAAAAUUUUAAAUUUUGAUUUAUCAAAUCCAAUUAUCAAAUUUUUCGUUGAUGAUUUAAAUUUCUGUGCCCUAUCUGAGAAAUCUUUUUUCUUUUUUUAACUCAAAUUCACAAAUAGGUUUUCCUAUGUUUUCUUCAGGAAGUUUUAUACUUUGAGCUCCUAGAUUUAGGUGUUUGAUCCAUUUUGAAUUAUUUUUUUAAGAUGAUGUAAGGUUGAGUUUUAGAUUCAGUCUGACGUUGCAUUAAGCAUAUAGCUCAAUUUAGAAAGAACUGACAUCUUAGUAUUGAAUCUUCUUGUUCAUGAAAUGGUGUAUGUCUCCAUUUAUUUGGGUUUUGUGUAACUUUUGUCAGCAGUUUUUCAGUUUUCAGUAUAUUUCACUUCCCAAUUGUUUGUUGUUUAUAUAUAGAAAUGCAAUUGAUUUUUGUUGUUGAUCUUGUAUCUUGCAACCUUGCUCAAUUCCCUUAUGAGUUCUAGUAGUUUUUUGGUGGACUUCUUAGAAUUCGAUCAUGCCAUUUAUGAUAAAACAGAGUUUUCUUUCUUUUUACCCAAUUUUAUUCCUUUUUCUUCUUGUCUUGUUACACUGGCUAGGCACAAUAUGAGUAGAAGUGGCGAGGAUGGACAUCUUACUUUAUUCCUCAACGUACAUAUUCCUACUUUUGUAACUAUGUAUCAUGUGAGCUGUAGAUUUUUAGUGGAUACGCUUUAUCAAGUUGAAGAAGCUUCCUUCUAGUCACAGUUGGCAGAGUUUUUAUAAUGAACGGGUGUUGAAUUUUGUCAAAUGCUUAUUCUGCAUCAAUUUGAGGUGAUCAUACGGGUUUUCUUUUUAAACUUGUUAAUAUGGUUAAUUACAUUGAUUGAUUUUUUUAAUAUUAAACCAAUCUUGAAUUCCUGAUAAACCUCACUUGGUCAUGAAGUAUUAUCCUUUUAUAUAUUGAUGGAUUUGAUUUGCUAAAAUUUUGUUAAGGAUUUUUGCAAUUGUGUUGUAUUAGUUUCCUGUUGCCUCUGUAACAGAUUACCAUAAAUUUAGU